GGAAAACAAAGAGUUGUUCCCUAAUUCUUUUCUUCUUCGAUUAAAACAAAGAGUUUUGAGCGACGGCGAGAUCAAACCACCGCCAAACUGCAUCCAGCCAUGCUUAAAUCUCUUCUCAACCACCUACAAACGGGUUUUGAUUGUUUUUUAUUGAAAGGCUGAAAUAGAUGAGACGGUGGAUGUUAGGUAAGUGAUAGCAAAUCUUAUACUUUUAUUUAUUUCAUUUCAGUUUGAAUUUAAUCAACAUAUGACUUCUAGGGUUAUCCAUAAACUAAUCUCUUCUCCACAUACAAGAGCUUUAAGGCACGGUCAUCUCUGUUUCCUAACCAAACAGGUCUGGUCAGGUAAAACAUCUUUUUCAAUUACAUCUGUGGAUCAUGGGUUCUCAUUAAGUUUAUGAAUCUUUUUUUUUUGAGUAUUUUAUGAAUCUUCUAAUAAGUUUAUGAAAGAUUAAUAAAUUCAGUUUCUAAUAAGUUUAUGAAAGAAGAAACUGAACAUAAGCAAUUGGUUAUGGCAGGGGCUACGAUUUUUUAGAAACUUUAGUUUUACCAGCAUUGGGGUUUUGUAGCUUAGUUUUUUAGAUGUGAAGUAAAUGGACGAUACUACUUAAAAGAUUCUUCUUUAGUUGAUUGUGAUGAUUGUUAAGCCGAAAUCAUGUGGUUUGUUUCAAAGACGGUUUCGACGUAAUGACCUUUCAGUACCCAUCUCCUACAGAUAUUGUGGUUCAAUCUUAAUGAUCUGUCAUAUAAAAAUUCAGUUUAAUGAUAAUUUGACAUUUAAUGGAAAUGAGGAUUGAACUACUGCCAACGCCAUUAGAUUUGAAUUUUCUGACCUUUGGAAAUGUGGGUUAGAGAGCCUACACUAGCAUAAAUUGUUUCUGGAUUCUCCGACUCUGGAUGUGUGGGUUAAAGAGCCUGCACUGGCAUAUAAUUUCUGUUAGUUUGUUUGGCUGGUGCUCAUUUCACAUUGACGUAUAUGCAUGCACUGGCUGGGGUUGGCAUAGGUAGGAUUUACAACUCCUCUGCUGUUCUCUUUACUCUGCUGUUAGCUUCAUUAUACUGACGUACUAAUUGGCUGGAAGGUUAAUGUAAUUGGCUAGAACCAUGUUAAUUAUCUUUGUGAGAACUGCUUAAGAAAUUCUAAACAUGAUCUAACAAAGAAUGAUUUAAGAAAGGGUCCGCCAUUUGCUGGCAGGUUAAUGUAGGAACGCAAAAGCUAUUGCCAUCCGGCUAACAAGUAUUUGUCUAAUUCAUUAGUCUUGGCAUAACGGGUGUACUUAUAAUGGAUGCUGAACCAAUAGUGUUCAUCACUUGGAAGAAAAAACUAUUAUGGAACCUGGACCAUAUAGAGUCAAGAGUGACGGAAAAACGAUCUCAAUGAAUAUUCAUGGAACAAUGAAUUCAGACCUGGAUCAGAACUCUCUUGCUUAAGGGCUGUCUGACACCAAAUCAAAAAUGCAUCAGAUGGGGCAAGGCGAAGUCGAUCCACACCAAAUCGAUACGGGGUGAGGCGGAGCUGAGACACACCAAAUCAUAAAUGCACUACCGGGCGAUGCGGAGUCACAUCACACCAGAUCAAAUAGGUAAAAAUGCGUCGCGACGGGUAGAGGCGAAGCGGUCUGACACCAAAUAAAAAAUGCAUCGGGAUGGGGCGAAGCGAAGCCGAGCCACACCAAUCAUAAAUGCAUGACGGGGUGGGGCAGAGCCACAUCACACUAGAUCAAAAAUAUGGUUAAAAGAAAAAGAUGCCAGAUGCAUAGAUGAAUGACCGUCCAUUAAACCUGGAGGAUAAGAUGUUUAGAUGGAGUUGAGUUUUAUAGUGAGGAUUUUGUAGUUGUUAGUGCUGGAAGAAUAUGAUUGAAAAAAGAGUUGAGUUAUGAGUUGGCUUUGCAGGCAUGUUGCAUUGCAGCCGGAACAGGGAAAAAAUCAAGCAACAAUAAAGAUAGGCAGUGACUGAAUACAACCCACAUAAUGUUAAAUAAUCCGUAAUCCAUUAGUUUAUGUUCUUCUCCUUUCCAUUAGUGAACAAAACUUAACUUUAUGUUCUUCUCCUUUCCAUUAGUUUUGCCCUAGAUAAUCCGUAAUCCAAAAA